rnacentral:rRNA from 1 species
GAUGAACGCUGGCGGCGUGCCUAAUACAUGCAAGUCGAGCGAACAGACGAGGAGCUUGCUCCUCUGAUGUUAGCGGCGGACGGGUGAGUAACACGUGGAUAACCUACCUAUAAGACUGGGAUAACUUCGGGAAACCGGAGCUAAUACCGGAUAACAUGUUGAACCGCAUGGUUCAACAGUGAAAGACGGUUUUGCUGUCACUUAUAGAUGGAUCCGCGCCGCAUUAGCUAGUUGAUAAGGUAACGGCUUACCAAGGCAACGAUGCGUAGCCGACCUGAGAGGGUGAUCGGCCACACUGGAACUGAGACACGGUCCAGACUCCUACGGGAGGCAGCAGUAGGGAAUCUUCCGCAAUGGGCGAAAGCCUGACGGAGCAACGCCGCGUGAGUGAAGAAGGUCUUCGGAUCGUAAAACUCUGUUAUUAGGGAAGAACAAAUGUGUAAGUAACUAUGCACGUCUUGACGGUACCUAAUCAGAAAGCCACGGCUAACUACGUG